UACGAAGGGGGCUAGCGUUGUUCGGAUUUACUGGGCGUAAAGCGCGUGUAGGCGGGUCGUUAAGUUGGGGGUGAAAUCCCGAGGCUCAACCCCGGAACUGCCUUCAAAACUGGCGACCUGGAGCAAGAUAGAGGCGAGUGGAAUUGCGAGGGUAGAGGUGAAAUUCGUAGAUAUUCGCAGGAACGCCAGUGGCGAAGGCGACUCGCUGGAUCUUUGCUGACGCUGAGACGCGAAAGCGUGGGGAGCAAACAGG
rnacentral:rRNA from 1 species